CACGUAGGGGGCAAGCGUUGUCCGGAUUAUUGGGCGUAAAGAGCGUGUAGGCGGCCAGGUAGGUCUGCUGUGAAAACUCGAGCUCAACCUCGAGACGCCGGUGGAAACCAUCAGACUAGAGUCCGGAAGAGGAGAGUGGAAUUCCGUGGUGUAGCGGUGAAAUGCGCAGAUAUCAGGAAGAACACCCGUGGCUAAGGCGGCUCUCUAGUACGGUACUGACGCUGAGACGCGAAAGCGUGGGGAGCGAACAGG
rnacentral:rRNA from 1 species